UUUCGACUUAAGAGGUUAUCAAGAAUUAGGCUUAAAAAAUAAAAUAAAGAGGGCCAGGCGCCUGUAAUCCCAGCUCUUUGGGAGGCCGAGGUGGGUGGAUCACCUGAGGUCAGGAGUUUGAGACCAGCCUGGCCAACAUGGUGAAACCCCUGUCUCUACUAAUAAAGUACAAAAAUUAGCUGGGUGUGGUGGUGGAUGCCUGUAAUCCCAGCUACUCAGUGGAGGCUGAGGCAGGAGAAUCGCUUGAACCCGGGAGGCAGAGGUUGCAGUGAGCCAGGAUCGCGCCAUUGCACUCCAGCCUGAGCGACAAGAGCGAGACUCCGUCUCAAAAAAAAAGAAAGAAAGAAAGAAAGAAAGGACAGGCGUGGUGGCUCACACCUGUAAUCCCAGCACUUCGGGAGGCCGAGGCAGGAAGAUGGCUUGAUACCAGGAGUCUGAGACCAGCCUGGACAACAGAGCGAGACCUCAUCUCUACAGAAAAAAAAUUUUAUAAAUUAAUUUAAAAAAAAGAAAAAGUACAGCUCUCGGUUUUGCAAGGCUCAGAGUCACUGUGUUCCCACUUUUCACUCCAUCCACACGGCGGCCCUCGGCCUGCCAUUCGCUGCUUUGGCGCGACCUGUCUGUCAUAGUUACACAUCUGUCGGGAUUCCUCCCCCAGGAACAUGAGCACCUUGAGGCUCAGACACUGGUUCAAUUUGUUCCUUGCACACCAAGUGCCCAGUGCCCAGUACUACGGGAAAAUGGUGGAUGUGUGGCCACACUUUUGCUAACACUACAAAGAUGACUAUUUAUCGCAAUCAGGUUUUUUUAUUCUUUUCUUUUCUUUUUUUUUUGGAGACAGAGUCUCACUCUGUCACCCAGGCUGGAGUUCAGUGGUAUGAUCCUGGCUCACUGCAACUUCUGCCUCCUGGGUUCAAGUGAUUCUCCUGCCUUAGCCUCCUGAGUAGCUGAGGCAGGAGAGUGGCGUGAACCCGGGAGGCGGAGCUUGCAGUGAGCCGAGAUCGCGCCACUGCAGUCCUGCCUGGGCGAAAGAGCGAGACUCCGUCUCAAAAAAAAAAAACAAACUACCAGUUAUGGCCGGGCGCAGCAGCUCAUGCCUGUAAUCCCACCAUUUUGGGAGGCCAAGGCAGGUGGAUCACUUGAGGUUGGGAGUUUAAGACCAGCCUGAACAACAUGGAGAAACCCCGUCUCUACUAAAAAAUACAAAAGUAGCUGGGCGUGGUGGCGCAUGCCUGUAAUCCCAGCUACUCAGGAGGCUGAGGCAGGAGAAUCACUCAAACCCGGGAGGCGGAGGUUGCAGUGAGCAGAGAUCGUGCCAUUGCACUCCAGCCUGGGCAACAAGAGCAAAACUCCCUCUCAAAAACAAACAAACAAACAAACAAAACCUACCAAUUAUGGGAUUAGGGUCUGGACUUUUCUUUCCUUCUGUUUCUAAUGGGAGCAGCCUGAAAGGAAUGUGCCAGCUCUAGGGAUUCCAGGCUAGCUUGGGUCUGCUCAUCCACACAGCACCCCCUUGGCCGUAGCCGCACCUGAAUGUGGGGGACCUGGGCCCUGGGUCACCAGAACAGGAACCAAGCCAAUGGCUCCUUCCAGUUUGGGGCAGCACCUCCCCACCUGCUCUCCACCAAAGCUCCUGGAAAAUGAACUCUCCCUCCACAAGGCCCCCUACACCUCUCCCCUACAAAGGCCCAAAAAGCCACCAAAAUGCCAGCAUGUCAGAACUCAAACACCACAUUCAGGCCCAGCCAAAGGGGCACAGGAGCAAGACACUCUUCCACGAGGCUGGAGACAUGGGGACAGGGCCGGUAUUUUUUUUUUUUUUUUUUUGAGCCGUAGUCUUGCUCUGUCACCCAGGCUAGAGUGCAGUGGCGCGAUCUUGGCUCACUGCAACCUCUGCCUCCCGGGUCAAGCAAUGCUCCUGCCUCAGCUGCCCGAGUACCUGGGAUUACAGGUGUGCACCACCACACCCAGCUAAUUUUUGUGCUUUUGGUAGGGACGGGAUUUCACC
rnacentral:lncRNA from 1 species